GAUCAAAUUCUGGCAUCAAACAGGUCACUGACCUCACUAACGCGAGAAGUAUUUUCUUGUUUGAUGAAAUGAAAACGAUCCUCUCUCUGGAACAAAUAUGCCCGGUCGCCGGCAGAUAAAGACGUUUCUGUGGCUGUUUUCUACACGCUGUUUUUACGUCUACUUUUUUAUGUGUAGACAUUUCACAAACAUGAUGUGUAGACAUUUGAC